AUUGAACGCUGGCGACAUGCCUUGCACAUGCAAGUCGAACGGCAGCACGGGUGCUUGCACCUGGUGGCGAGUGGCGAACGGGUGAGUAAUACAUCGGAACAUGUCCUGUAGUGGGGGAUAGCCCGGCGAAAGCCGGAUUAAUACCGCAUACGAUCUACGGAUGAAAGCGGGGGACCUUCGGGCCUCGCGCUAUAGGGUUGGCCGAUGGCUGAUUAGCUAGUUGGUGGGGUAAAGGCCUACCAAGGCGACGAUCAGUAGCUGGUCUGAGAGGACGACCAGUCACACUGGGACUGAGACACGGCCCAGACUCCUACGGGAGGCAGCAGUGGGGAAUUUUGGACAAUGGGCGAAAGCCUGAUCCAGCAAUGCCGCGUGUGUGAAGAAGGCCUUCGGGUUGUAAAGCACUUUUGUCCGGAAAGAAAUCCUUGGCCCUAAUACGGUCGGGGGAUGACGGUACCGGAAGAAUAAGCACCGGCUAACUACGUG
rnacentral:rRNA from 1 species